AUAAUAUGUAAAUUUAUGAUUAAAAAUGAUUUAUUAAUGAGGAAUCAGAAAAAUUAUUUAGUGAAUUGGUAAAUGGACAAUUGGUCCCACUUCAUUUAACAGUGAGCACAUCUCUGGUCAAGGUUUAGUCGCUCUGCUUUCUAAAUUAAUUUAAACACGUUUUUUAUUGGUCAAGCAGUACAGUAAUUUAUAUUGGAUAAAAAUUUCAAUUUAAAAGUAGAACUCACUAUUGAUUUUCACUUUUCAGAAACACCAGAAAACAGG
rnacentral:lncRNA from 1 species